rnacentral:rRNA from 2 species
UACCCGUGGAGGAAGCCACGGCUAACUACGUGCCAGCAGCCGCGGUAAUACGUAGGUGGCAAGCGUUGUCCGGAAUUACUGGGUGUAAAGGGAGCGUAGGCGGGAUGUUAAGUUGGAUGUGUAAUACCGGGGCUCAACCCCGGGGCUGCAUCCAAAACUGACAUUCUUGAGUGAGGUAGAGGCAGGCGGAAUUCCUAGUGUAGCGGUGAAAUGCGUAGAUAUUAGGAGGAACACCAGUGGCGAAGGCGGCCUGCUGGGCCUUAACUGACGCUGAGGCUCGAAAGCGUGGGGAGCAAACAGGAUUAGAUACCCUGGUAGUCCACGCUGUAAACGAUGAUUACUAGGUGUGGGGGGUCUGACCCCUUCCGUGCCGGAGUUAACACAAUAAGUAAUCCACCUGGGGAGUACGGCCGCAAGGCUGAAACU